UACGAAGGGUGCAAGCGUUACUCGGAAUUACUGGGCGUAAAGCGUGCGUAGGUGGUUCGUUAAGUCUGAUGUGAAAGCCCUGGGCUCAACCUGGGAAUGGCAUUGGAAACUGGCGAGCUAGAGUGCGGUAGAGGGUAGUGGAAUUCCCGGUGUAGCAGUGAAAUGCGUAGAGAUCGGGAGGAACAUCUGUGGCGAAGGCGACUGCCUGGACCAGCACUGACACUGAGGCACGAAAGCGUGGGGAGCAAACAGG
rnacentral:rRNA from 1 species